rnacentral:lncRNA from 1 species
AUUUAGUCAUGUUACACGAAUCACUAAACCUACUCACAGAAGUCAGAGUAGAUAUUGCUAAAACACAACUUGCACUAAUGACGGGAGGGAGGACGCCGUUCGCCUGCUAUUGGUCCUACUCAAUCUACGUACGGACGUACAACCGUACAUGGUGGUCAGUUUGGGAACCGCAAGAGUGAACAUAGCUCCCAGUGGAUGAUUCCUUUCCAAAUACCACGGCACUUCGCUAUCUUCGCCCGACGAGCGUGGUCCUCAACCUGCUCUGCCAGAACUUCUCGAAGACCUUGUCCAUGUCGCUAGCAUGAGUUGACGCCUCAAGCUCGACGGUGGCAGACAUCUCGACCACCACGCCCUGAUACUUGUCAACAUCAACGGAGGCCUCACAUUUAUCAACGGAGGCCUCAACAUCAACAUCAACAUCAACGGGUAUGCCCAUGAUUGGCAACUUGGAGUAUUUUCUCAUUCGUCAAGUAUUUAUCUUGAGUUAUGACCAAUGUUCGGGAGUUGCAACACAUUCCGACUCUUGAGCAUAUCGAGAGGCUUCCCGUGAGUAGGUGGUGGAGAGACAAGGUCAUUUUUGCUACAAACAGUCAUGGGAAUAAAAAAGAAACGAUCACGCCAAUUGUGGGCCCGGUCAGAACAAGUAGAUACCUGCACCCAAUUUUCAUUGUGGACAUCACCAACAGAUAGUACUAGACAAAAAAGUUAUUGAGAGAAGCAACGAUGUCGCAGUCCCGACAAAGCGUUUCAAAGCAGAUAAGUCGCGCCAGCGACGUUGACGGAAAUUGUGAAAGCAUGACCCCACACAUAUUCACGGCCGACCGGACUAGAGGAGAAAGGGAGAUCUUCAGACCAACGUCGGCAUAAUGAGUAUAAACGAUGACAAAGCUGGUCAGAGGGUGUGAACCCAAGGCAUUCCCAGGAGUUUUAUGGCUGAUCACGAUGUUGGAUGACAUCCUCGUAAGCGCAUCCCUGAUCCCGUGGUCGGAAACAUUCGACCGUGGAUUAUUUUUGGAGGGCUCCAGUCUGAAAAGCGAGCUAAGGCGAUCGCUCCAGUCCAGAAGAGGAAGCUAUCGUUGCAACGGAUGGUGAAAGUGGUAACCUGUAGAAGGGAGGAGAGAAUUGAGGCAAGUGAGAAACAACGGAGAGUAAGAGCUGAAGGGGAGUAUUUAACCAAAUGUAUUUUGCUUAUUAUGAAAUAAAAAUUACAGUUUUCCUCCACUCUUCAUCUCCACAAAUUCCAUACGUUACAUCUUCAUCGUGAACUCCCUCCGGCCAUCUUUCCGACCAUCGAUUCACCUAGCCUCACUCCACAAUCAGCCACCAAACUUCAGACGUCCUCCUAGCAAGCCACCGCGACGCUCGGGGUACCUUCAAUUUCGUGAAAGGAACCUCAUAGCAACAUCAAACUUCAAUUCAGAAAUUAAUUUUUUUUAGCCCUCGUAUUCCGAUCUUAGAUCGGAGACAUUGGGCCUAUUCAGGUC